UACGUAGGGGGCGAGCGUUGUCCGAAGUUACUGGGCGUAAAGCGCGCGUAGGCGGGUGGGUAAGUCCGCUGUGAAAGCCCGGAGCUCAACUCCGGAGGGUCGGUGGAUACUGCCCAUCUUGAAGGUGCUAGGGGGAGAUGGAAUUACCGGUGUAGCGGUGAAAUGCGUAGAGAUCGGUAGGAACACCAGUGGCGAAGGCGGUCUCCUGGAGCAUACUUGACGCUGAGGCGCGAAAGCUGGGGGAGCGAACGGG
rnacentral:rRNA from 1 species